UACGGGGGGAGCAAGCGUUGUUCGGAUUUACUGGGCGUAAAGGGCGCGUAGGCGGCUUCGUAAGUCGGCCGUGAAAUCUCCAGGCUUAACUUGGAGGGGUCGGGCGAGACUGCGGAGCUCGAGGUGGGCAGAGGGCAGUGGAAUUCCGGGUGUAGUGGUGGAAUGCGUAGAGAUCCGGAGGAACACCAGUGGCGAAGGCGGCUGCCUGGGCCUGGCCUGACGCUGAGGCGCGAAAGCGUGGGGAGCGAUCCGG
rnacentral:rRNA from 1 species